AUUGAACGCUGGCGGCAUGCCUAACACAUGCAAGUCGAACGGCAGCGCGGGGGCAACCCUGGCGGCGAGUGGCGGACGGGUGAGGAAUGCAUAGGAAUCUGCCCGGUUGUGGGGGAUAACGUAGGGAAACUUACGCUAAUACCGCAUACGACCUUCGGGUGAAAGUGGGGGACCUUCGGGCCUCACGCGAUCGGAUGAGCCUAUGCCCGAUUAGCUAGUUGGCGGGGUAAGAGCCCACCAAGGCGACGAUCGGUAGCUGGUCUGAGAGGAUGAUCAGCCACACUGGGACUGAGACACGGCCCAGACUCCUACGGGAGGCAGCAGUGGGGAAUAUUGGACAAAGGGCGCAAGCCUGAUCCAGCAAUGCCGCGUGUGUGAAGAAGGCCUUCGGGUUGUAAAGCACUUUUGUUCGGGAAGAAAUCCGUGUGGUUAAUACCCGUACGGGAUGACGGUACCGAAAGAAUAAGCACCGGCUAUCUUCGUG
rnacentral:rRNA from 1 species